UCGAGGGGCAGCGGGGUAGGAAGCUUGCUUUCUGCCGCCGGCGACCGGCGCACGGGUGAGUAACACGUAUGCAACCUGGCCGUGACAGAUGGAUAACCGGGAGAAAUCCCGCCUAAUACAACAUAAUGCCGGGAGGGGACAUCCCCUGCCGGUCAAAGGAAGCGAUUCCGGCUACGGAUGGUCAUGCGUCGCAUUAGCUGGUUGGCGGGGUAACGGCCCACCAAGGCGACGAUGCGUAGGGGUUCUGAGAGGAAGGUCCCCCACACUGGUACUGAGACACGGACCAGACUCCUACGGGAGGCAGCAGUGAGGAAUAUUGGUCAAUGGCCGCAGGGCUGAACCAGCCAAGUCGCGUGAGGGAUGACGGUCCUAUGGAUUGUAAACCUCUUUUGUCAGGGAGCAAAGGGCGCCACGUGUGGCGCUUUGCGAGUACCUGAAGAAAAAGCAUCGGCUAACUCCGUGCCAGCAGCCGCGGUAAUACGGAGGAUGCGAGCGUUAUCCGGAUUUAUUGGGUUUAAAGGGUGCGCAGGCGGAAUGUCAAGUCAGCGGUAAAAUUUCGGGGCUCAACCCCGUCGUGCCGUUGAAACUGGCGUUCUUGAGUGAGCGAGAAGUAUGCGGAAUGCGUGGUGUAGCGGUGAAAUGCAUAGAUAUCACGCAGAACUCCGAUUGCGAAGGCAGCAUACCGGCGCUCAACUGACGCUCAUGCACGAAAGCGUGGGUAUCGAACAGGAUUAGAUACCCUGGUAGUCCACGCAGUAAACGAUGAAUACUAACUGUCCGGGCAGAAUGAUGCCUGGGUGGUACAGCGAAAGCGUUAAGUAUUCCA
rnacentral:rRNA from 1 species